GCGCCUCCUUAUAAGUUUUUUUUUGUUGAGUGACUUGGUCUAUUUCUGCUUGCUGACGAUUUCUGCUCGCCUGGUGUUUCAACUGGUCCCUUUUUUUCGUUCUUAUGUUCGCCUGGUAUUUCACCUACUGAUUUGGCAAUUUUUGAUCAUCGUUACAUAUCGACUUGGCAGCAACAAUAACUACAUUAUUAAUAAUUGUUGUUUUAAUUACUUAUGUUGUAGUUGUUGUAGCAUUUUCCAAAAAAUAUUUUCUAAUUUUGACGGGUUUGACUUUUUAGCAUCGGUUGCUUAUAAGAUUCAAAUUGGCGCGUUCUUUAGGUUUUUGUAGUACAGGAACCAUGUGCCAGAUGGGGACACUGAGUAAGCAAGUGAUUCGCUCUAUUUCGGCUUGCAGCUGAUUUCUGCUCACCUGGUAUUUCAACUGAUGAUAUGGAAUAUUUUGUUUUGUUGUUGCUGUUGUUUGUAACUACUGUUGUUGUAAUUGUGGAAACAGUCCUCGAUUUAGUAA